rnacentral:rRNA from 1 species
AUUGAACGCUGGCGGCAGGCCUAACACAUGCAAGUCGAACGAGUGGCGGACGGGUGAGUAAUGUCUGGGAAACUGCCUGAUGGAGGGGGAUAACUACUGGAAACGGUAGCUAAUACCGCAUACCAUCAGAUGUGCCCAGAUGGGAUUAGCUUGUUGGUGGGGUAACGGCUCACCAAGGCGACGAUCCCUAGCUGGUCUGAGAGGAUGACCAGGCACACUGGACAGGAAAACCGGUCAAGGCUCCUAGGGAAGGAAGCAGUGGGGCAUAUUCCGCAAUGGGGGCAUGCCUGAUGCAGCCAUGCCGCGUGUUGGUAGCAGGCCUUCGGGUUGUAAAGUACUUUAAGCGGGGAGGCGUUACCCGCAGAAGAAGCACCGGCUAACUCCGUGCCAUCAGCCGCGGUAAUAC